UCGGGAAUUUUGGGCAAUGGGGGAAACCCUGACCCAGCAACGCCGCGUGAAGGAUGAAGUAUUUCGGUAUGUAAACUUCGAAAGAAUAGGAAGAAUAAAUGACGGUACUAUUUAUAAGGUCCGGCUAACUACGUGCCAGCAGCCGCGGUAAUACGUAGGGACCAAGCGUUGUUCGGAUUUACUGGGCGUAAAGGGCGCGUAGGCGGCAUGACAAGUCACUUGUGAAAUCUCUGGGCUUAACCCAGAACGGCCAAGUGAUACUGUCGCGCUAGAGUGCAGAAGGGGCAAUCGGAAUUCCCGGUGUAGCGGUGGAAUGCGUAGAGAUCGGGAGGAACAUCGGUGGCGAAGGCGGCCAGCUGGGCCGUUGCUGACGCUGAGGCGCGAAAGCGUGGGGAGCAAACGGGGAUUAGAUACCCUGGUAGUCCCUGAGCGGGCUGGCAAGGCGCAU
rnacentral:rRNA from 1 species